CAGCCGGGUAAUUCCAGCUCCAAUAGCGUAUAUUAAAGUUGUUGCAGUUAAAAAGCUCGUAGUUGAAUUUCGGGAUCAAUUUAUUGGUCGUGCUAUUGUACGUACUGGUAUUAUUGAUUCCUACCUUCUGACGAACCAUGAUGUCAUUAAUUUGGUGUCUUGGGGAAUCAGGACUGUUACUUUGAAAAAAUUAGAGUGUUUAAAGCAGGCUCACGCUUGAAUACAUUAGCAUGGAAUAACGAAAUAGGACGUUUGAUUCUAUUUUGUUGGUUUCUAGGAUCGACGUAAUGAUUAAUAGGGAUAGUUGGGGGCAUUAGUAUUCAAUUGUCAGAGGUGAAAUUCUUGGAUUUAUUGAAGACUAACUACUGCGAAAGCAUUUGCCAAGGAUGUUUUCAUUAAUCAAGAACGAAAGUUAGGGGAUCGAAGACGAUCAGAUACCGUCGUAGUCUUAACCAUAAACUAUGCCGACUAGGGAUCGGAUGAUGUUAAUUUUUUAAUGACUCAUUCGGCGCCUUACG
rnacentral:misc_RNA from 1 species